rnacentral:rRNA from 1 species
ACGGGAGGCAGCAGUGAGGAAUAUUGGUCAAUGGACGGAAGUCUGAACCAGCCAAGUCGCGUGAAGGAUGAAGGUAUUAUGUAUUGUAAACUUCUUUAGACGCAGAGAAAUAAGGUGCUCGCGAGCACUGAUGCUAGUAUGCGUAGAAUAAGGACCGGCUAAUUCCGUGCCAGCAGCCGCGGUAAUACGGAAGGUCCGGGCGUUAUCCGGAUUUAUUGGGUUUAAAGGGAGCGUAGGCGGGCCUUUAAGUCAGUGGUAAAAGCGUGUGGCUCAACCAUACCACGCCAUUGAAACUGGAGGUCUUGAGUGCACACAGGGAUGCUGGAAUUCGUCGUGUAGCGGUGAAAUGCUUAGAUAUGACGAAGAACUCCGAUCGCGAAGGCAGGUGUCCGGGGUGUAACUGACGCUGAGGCUCGAAAGUGCGGGUAUCAAACAGGAUUAGAUACCCUGGUA